rnacentral:rRNA from 1 species
UACGUAGGGUGCAAGCGUUGUCCGGAAUUAUUGGGCGUAAAGAGCUCGUAGGCGGUUUGUCGCGUCUGCUGUGAAAACUCGGGGCUUAACCCCGGGCCUGCAGUGGGUACGGGCAGACUAGAGUUCGGCAGGGGAGACUGGAAUUCCUGGUGUAGCGGUGAAAUGCGCAGAUAUCAGGAGGAACACCGGUGGCGAAGGCGGGUCUCUGGGCCGAUACUGACGCUGAGGAGCGAAAGCGUGGGGAGCGAACAGG